CCUACGGGUGGCAGCAGUGGGGAAUAUUGGACAAUGGGGGCAACCCUGAUCCAGCCAUGCCGCGUGUGUGAAGAAGGCCCUCGGGUUGUAAAGCACUUUCAGUGAGGAAGAACGCCUGGUGGUUAAUACCCAUCAGGAAAGACAUCACUCACAGAAGAAGCACCGGCUAACUCCGUGCCAGCAGCCGCGGUAAUACGGAGGGUGCGAGCGUUAAUCGGAAUUACUGGGCGUAAAGCGCGCGUAGGUGGCUUGAUAAGCCGGUUGUGAAAGCCCCGGGCUCAACCUGGGAACGGCAUCCGGAACUGUCAAGCUAGAGUGCAGGAGAGGAAGGUAGAAUUCCCGGUGUAGCGGUGAAAUGCGUAGAGAUCGGGAGGAAUACCAGUGGCGAAGGCGACCUUCUGGACUGACACUGACACUGAGGUGCGAAAGCGUGGGUAGCAAACAGGAUUAGAUACCCCUGUAGUC
rnacentral:rRNA from 1 species